GGUCAUCAUAUAAUAAAUUGUCACUUAGUAAUUGUGGAAUUGAUCCAAAAUAAUCCAAUUCCAAUAGAUGUGACAAUGAACAAAUUCUUGGUAAUUUCAUUGUUUGUGGUCCACCAACAACUUCAAUUUCAUUAUUUGUAGUACUCAGAUUUUGUGCCUCUAAUUCUUCUUCUUCAACUUUCAUCAUCUCUAUAGUUCUCCCCAAAUUUUUCUU
rnacentral:misc_RNA from 1 species